CUAGUUGGUAGGGUAGUGGCCUACCAAGGUGGUAACGGGUAACGGGGAAUCAGGGUUUGAUUCCGGAGAGGGAGCCUUAGAAACGGCUACCACGUCCAAGGAAGGCAGCAGGCGCGCAAAUUACCCACUCUAGACACUGGGAGGUAGUGACGAGAAAUAACAGGGGCACCCUACAAGGGGGCCGUCUGUAAUGAACGAAACACAAAAGCAACGGUGAGGACCUACUGGAGGGCAAGUCUGGUGCCAGCAGCCGCGGUAAUUCCAGCUCCAGUAGUGUAUAUCAACAUUGUUGCGCUUAAAACGCUCGUAGUUGGGUUGGAGUGUUGUAGUGUACCCUGGUAAGAAGGGGUGCAUGUAACACUAGCUAACAUGUACCCUUGGAGUGGGCUGUUAGUAGGUGAAGAACACUUUUUGUAUCGGGCACCUUGUUGGUUUUGAGUAAGCAACAUGGUGAAACCUGGUGCAGUGUGCCUUGAGUAAAGCAUAAUGUCAAUAGUAAGCAAAGGAGCUUGAGUGUAAUAGCAUGGAACGAAAAGAUGACCAAAAACAAAGGAGGGUUCCUUGUGUUCGCCAUCCUAGCGAUGGGGUCUAGCUGUCCAAGAGGAAAGUUUGCGGGCACUGGUACUUUGGGGCGAGAGGUGAAAUUCUUAGACCCCCAAAAGACGGACUACUGCGAAGGCAUUUGCCAAAGAUGUUUCCGUCGAUCAAGAACGAAGGUCAGAGGAUCGAAGACGAUCAGAUACCGUCCUAGUUUUGACAGAAAACUCUGCCGGCGUAGGUGGGCAGCGGCUGGUCACUUGACAGGAGCCACUGCGGACCUAGGGGGAAACCUGAGCUUUCGGGCUGCUGGGAGAAUAUUGCUGCAAGGCUGAAAUUUAAAGAAAUUGACGGAGAGGCACCACCAGGAGUGGAGCUUGCGGCUUAAUUUGACUCAACACGGGGAAACUCACCGGGUCCAGACAUUGGAAGGAUUGACAGAGUGGUGGAUCUUUCAUGAUUCAGUGAAUGGUGGUGCAUGGCCGUUCUUAGUUGGUGGAGUGAUCUGUCAGGUUUAUUCCGGUAACGAGCGAGACC
rnacentral:rRNA from 1 species